rnacentral:rRNA from 1 species
GAAGAAUAUUGGGCAAUGGGGGAAACCCUGACCCAGCAACGCCGCGUGAAGGAUGAAGGUUUUCGGAUUGUAAACCUCUUUUGUCGAGGACGAAAAAAAUGACGGUACUCGGCGAAUAAGCCACGGCUAACUACGUGCCAGCAGCCGCGGUAAUACGUAGGUGGCGAGCGUUAUCCGGAUUUACUGGGUGUAAAGGGCGAGUAGGCGGGAUUGUAAGUCAGAUGUGAAAUCUGGGGGCUCAACCCCCAAACUGCAUUUGAAACUAUGAUUCUUGAGUGAUGGAGAGGCAGGCGGAAUUCCCGGUGUAGCGGUGGAAUGCGUAGAUAUCGGGAGGAACACCAAUGGCGAAGGCGGCCUGCUGGACAUUAACUGACGCUGAGGAGCGAAAGCGUGGGGAGCAAAC